UCUGAAACAAGGUGAACAUUUUGAUGUGGUCGGUGGAUGAGUCGCUAGCAUCAAUGGACUCAAGAAACAAACUUCCCCGGGGAGAAUUCACCAACACAAUAAUAAUCAUUUUUCCCGUUCUUGUCGUCCACUUAUCCAUCAUAAUGGAGCAGCCAUACUUGUCCCACACAACUUUAUGCUCCUCAACAAUUUUGUUUGUCUCCUCCACUUCCUUAUUUAGAUAAGGACCUCAUAUUUCAUGGUAAGUUGGACACUUCAUUCCAGGUCCGUAUUGACCAACGAGCUCAAUAAAGUCUCCAAAAGUGUCAUAGUUGACACAAUUGAGCCCAGCAUCAUAGACCAUCGUGCGAAAGCACUAACUGCACGCUCCCUCACAUCCGGUGGACAUUUAGACAACUUGUCAUGUUUCUAUCGCCACCAAUUAGAUGGUAUUUAAAGCGAUAAAUUCCUCCCAUGUUAUCUUAUUGCAAAAAAUGCACAGAACAUUUGUAUUCUUCUCAUUAACUCUUUGGCCAUAUCGCCAAGCCGGGUCUUUCUCUUUUGAACUUUGAGACAUUUAAUUAUCCCUAUUAAGAUAUAAAAGAAAAAAUAAUUAAUAAACUGAAAAUACACUGAACUGAAAUUAUAUAAAUUAUAAUAAUUAACUGAAAAUAAAUUGAAAUUAAAUAAAUUAUAGUAAUAAUUAACAGAAAAUAAACUGAAAUUAUAUAAAUUAUA
rnacentral:lncRNA from 1 species